rnacentral:rRNA from 1 species
GACGAACGCUGGCGGCGUGCUUAACACAUGCAAGUCGAACGGAAAGGCCCUGCUUUUGUGGGGUGCUCGAGUGGCGAACGGGUGAGUAACACGUGAGUAACCUGCCCUUGACUUUGGGAUAACUUCAGGAAACUGGGGCUAAUACCGGAUAGGAGCUCCUGCUGCAUGGUGGGGGUGGGAAAGUUUCGGCGGUUGGGGAUGGACUCGCGGCUUAUCAGCUUGUUUGUGGGGUAGUGGCUUACCAAGGCUUUGACGGGUAGCCGGCCUGAGAGGGUGACCGGCCACAUUGGGACUGAGAUACGGCCCAGACUCCUACGGGAGGCAGCAGUGGGGAAUAUUGCACAAUGGGCCGAAGCCUGAUGCAGCAACGCCGCGUGCGGGAUGACGGCCUUCGGGUUGUAAACCGCUUUCGCCUGUGACGAAGCGUGAGUGACGGUAAUGGGUAAAGAAGCACCGGCUAACUACGUG